GGCCGAGAGGCCGCCCGCGCUCCACGCCCGCACCGCCCUGCCCCGCCGCUUCCAUGCUGCGGAGCCCAGCCUUACUUGGAGCUGGGGUUUGCUGCCAGACGCCUCGGCUGAUGAGCUCGGGCAAGGACGUACCGACUCCAGCCGCCGCUGAGGAGACCCGUUCAAGCAAGCCUCCACCGCCUCACGAAGACCCACUUCCGCUCGUCCGGCACCGGCCCGCCCUUCUCAGCCCUUAUUGGCCUCUCCCGCCUUUUCUCCCGUGCUCUACCGGUUUAGGAGGAUAAAUUGCAAUUUUAUUGGGUGAGAAAACCAUCUAUUACCACUUUGAAAUACACCUUCUUCCGGUCACGCCCCCCGCCUGCUUGCGGGAGCUUCCACUUCCCGCGAGAGUGCCGCCAGUCGCGCUCCUCCCACGAGAACUUGGCGGUGUCGUUGCUGAGGCGCGUCGCGAGCUUGCCCGCUGGGUGUUUGACUUUUCGUUUGGCUUCUGACCUGGUAUACGGUGGCCCUUACGGCUGCAUCUAGCCCUAAACCAUAAUCCGUACCCUUCUCCGUCUCCUCGGUCGUUAAUGAGGCGUACCAGAGACUCGCCCAAGGCCCCAAUUUUCUGCUGAUCCACAGGCAACCAGGCCGGGAUUCGCACCAUAAGUGCCAGGCUCUUAGGCAUGUCGGUCCCCGGACUCUCCCUCGCAGGAAUCCCAUCAUCUGGACAGGGGGCUCACCUAUACGUUUGGGAGGCCUACCUGGAGGAAGCUUGAGGACUAGACGAAAGAGAACGUCCAGUUAGACAUUGUGUGUGCUAAAGGCGGGGGAAGGUAGAGCUGGGCAUGCCCAGGAGUCUGCGGGUUAGCUGCCCAAGUGUGUCGGGGCAGAGGCGAGAAAGGCAGGACUCAGAACACAAGUCCCAUGGAAUGCAAAGAACGGCCUCGGGCAAGACCAGGGCCUGGAAUUGGGUCUUAGGACAUCUCAUGUUACAGAAUCUCUCUUACCUGAAUCUGAAAACCAGUAUAAUAACUUUAGGCAAGUCUCAGUCCAUUCACACCUAUUACAGGUUAUCCAUUUUACCUACUUCUGCCGGUUAAUAAGAAUGUGAGUGCUAACAGGUCUUUCAUCCCUCUGUUUGAGGAUGUUGGAAUCCCUGGAGCUGGAAUUACAGUUGUGAGCAGUCAGUUCAAAUCUUUCCAACUCUCAUUGUAUCUAACAGGGUUUAACAGUCAACUCUCUUGCCUCUGAACACCGUAUCUCUCCCAUAAAGGGACAUUCAAGAGGCCAGCAGAGGCUGCUUUCUCAAAUCCUGCAACAGCUGGCUUGCCAGUCCCUGGCACACCUUGAAGGAAUACCCAGAAGAGCAGGGGUUCUCUUUUUACCUUGUUCAGGCAGCACAAACCACACCCAAACACUUGUUUUCAAAGAAAGACCCUUUAUUAAGUGGGGAAGAAAAGUUAAAGGGACUGCUUUCUGACUUAGGAUGAAAAACAGAGCUGUCCUGGAACCAAGCUGACCUCCAGCUCAGACACGGGCCUGCCUUUGCCUCCCAAGUGCUAUUAAAGGUCAAGUGGACUCCAGCUAAGUACUGUCAAUCAACAGCCUGUUUCCCUUCCACCUGCCUAUUCCUGAGGGUGAGGUCUUUUCCCUGGUCCCAGGACUUCCCCACCCCUCCUCCAAAUACCAAGACUAUGGGCUUAAAAGUUUCAAAUGGGUGCUGGAGAGAUGGCUCAGCAGUUAAGAGCACCGACUGCUCUUUCGAAGGUCCUGAGUUCAAAUCCCAGCAACCAUAUGGUGGCUCACAACCAUCUGUAAUGGAAUCUGAUGCCCUCUUCUGGUGUGUCUGAAGACAGCUACAGUGUACUCACAUAUAUAAAAUAAAUAAUUCUUUAAAAAAAAAAAAAGUUUCAAAUGAACAUUCAAGAAGUUUUUCUCCCUAAACUCCUUACCUUUAUCUUCUGCCAUAUAUAUAUAAUCUGUUCUAGCACCCUGCCAUGUCCAGAUAUUUCCUCAGAACCUGUAUUUAGGAUGGGUACAAAGCAAUUACCCACAAGUGCUCUGGCGUAGCCUCAGAACAGACUGCUUCAACUGGGCAUGCACUCUUCUACCCACAGAUGUCCCACAGCCUGGACAGCCUGGAAACAACCAGGUCUUCCUACACUUAGCUAACAUUCCAGCUUUCUGCCCCACCCCAACCCCAUAACGUCAUCCCA
rnacentral:lncRNA from 1 species